rnacentral:rRNA from 1 species
CCUACGGGUGGCAGCAGUGGGGAAUAUUGGACAAUGGGGGCAACCCUGAUCCAGCCAUGCCGCGUGUGUGAAGAAGGCCCUCGGGUUGUAAAGCACUUUCAGUGAGGAAGAACGCCUGGUGGUUAAUACCCAUCAGGAAGGACAUCACUCACAGAAGAAGCACCGGCUAACUCCGUGCCAGCAGCCGCGGUAAUACGGAGGGUGCGAGCGUUAAUCGGAAUUACUGGGCGUAAAGCGCGCGUAGGUGGCUUGAUAAGCCGGUUGUGAAAGCCCCGGGCUCAACCUGGGAACGGCAUCCGGAACUGUCAAGCUAGAGUGCAGGAGAGGAAGGUAGAAUUCCCGGUGUAGCGGUGAAAUGCGUAGAGAUCGGGAGGAAUACCAGUGGCGAAGGCGGCCUUCUGGACUGACACUGACACUGAGGUGCGAAAGCGUGGGUAGCAAACAGGAUUAGAUACCCCUGUAGUC